AUAAAAUUUUUGUGCUUAGAAAAGGAAAAAAAUAACAAACCUUCAAACCCUUGAUUAUCUCUUCUAUCCGCUUCACUCCUUGAAAGCGAUCAUCAAAGUUUUUAUCUGGGUAUUACUAAUUUACUAUGCGCGGAUCUGAUCGGCGGAGACAUCCCUCAGCUUCUCGACAUUACACAAUGGCUAAAGGAAAAAAGUGGAGACAUCCUUCAGGUCUGAUCUGAUCGAAUUGGAGACAUAUUUCAGCGAUGGGAUAAGAUUAAGCCUCUGGUCUUUGACAAAUUUAGGAAUCUGAGAGCUUAUUCUCCUUACUGUUUCUUCAAAAGUGAUUUUCUUAAAAGCAUUUUCACAUUGUUUAAUGGAAAAUUCUGUGUUAGUUUCAGCUACUCCGUAUUAUGAGCAAUGGGAAUAAGAUGGGGUAAAGCUCUUUCUGGGUUAACUGAAAGGCAAAAAAUUUCCAAAUAGAUGGGCUGGGAUUUGAAAUUAUCUUGCAAGAGGGAGAGGGUCUUGAUUUUUAAUUGAUCAUGCAAUUGGUUUCUGCAUUCUCCGUUAGGCCAUCCAGCGAACUCAAGGGGUUUAUACGUGUCGUAUAUCAGUUCAUAAUGUUAAGGCAAACAACAUUUGACAAUAAUCAACUUUUAGGUAUACACAUCACUGGCUGAUGUUGUCGGCUCCUAUUCAAGAUGGACCUCUGUUUUCCCAAGUAAUGCCAGACCCUUGCUGUUAUUUCUUGAAGCCUCUGUGUAGACUUUGUGAAGAUGCCCCAGCUGUAUUCCAGGAAUCAUCAAAUUUAGACAUCUUAAUGUGGAUAGGAGAGUGUUUGGAGCAGUAGAAUUUGGCGUUGGAAGAUGAAGAGGAAGUCAUUAGCGCUAUCACUGUGAUCCUUCGCUCUGUUGCUAACAUAGAGCUACAAAAUAAAUUAAUAACGCAAUUGCUUUCGUCAAGUUAUGGAGUUCUCUCGAAACUUAUGAUGACGUCGAGUCUUCUGGUAGACAGAGUCCAGGCACUUACACACGUAUGUUGAGCUCUGUUACAAGAGGCCUCUACAGGAUUGGAACUGUAUUCAGCCACCUUUCGACGUUUCUGUCAUCUGUCUAUGUGGCAGAUGGUCCAAUUCUUUCUUUGUUGACUGUAUUCUGUCCCAUUUUGGAGAAGCUUUUUAGGUCUGAACACAUGGAGAAUGGCAGUUUAGCUGCAGCAGUAUGCCGUACUCUUUCAGUGGCAGUUCAAUGGUGAUCACUUUAUGCUACUACUACCCAGUGUACUGGACUGUAUCAAAAAACUUUCUGUCAUUUCAAAGCCAAGAAUGUUACAUAAGAACAGUUUGUGUAAUUGCUGAUGAAUUUUGUCACAAGGAGGAAUACUGGUCCUUGUUUACCACUACGUUUGAGAGAUUUCCCCAGGCCUCAUCACUGAUGGGAAUAAAUUUGUCAUAUAUGUGCGACCAAGAACCUGAUUUGGUGGAAGCAUAUGUGAAUUUUGCAUCAGCAUUAAUCCGCGGUUGUCAUAUGUUGUAGGAGACUUGCUUUGUUUUUUAAUAUGUAGUUAUCCUAAAUAAAAUUGGGUGACUCAGUGUGAUUCAAUGAUUUCACACGACAAACAUUAGAAUGGUUUUGCUUGCUGGGUAUACAUAUGUCUAGGAAACACGAUUUCUGUUAUUUUUAAUACCAUAAUAUAUUUGUUAAGCAAUACACGAGUGUCAAAAUAACGUCUUCAUCGAUUGUUG